UACGUAGGGAGCGAGCGUUGUCCGGAAUCAUUGGGCGUAAAGAGCGCGUAGGUGGAUCGGUCAGUCUGCUGUGAAAGUCAAAGGCUCAACCUUUGAAAGCCGGUGGAUACUGCCAAUCUAGAGUGCGGAAGAGGCGAGUGGAACUCCUGGUGUAGCGGUGGAAUGCGCAGAUAUCAGGAAGAACACCGAUAGCGAAGGCAGCUCGCUGGGACGCUACUGACACUGAGGCGCGAAAGCGUGGGGAGCAAACAGGAUUAGAUACCCUGGUAGUCCACGCCGUAAACGAUGGGUACUAGGUGUGGGAGGUGUCGACUCCUCCCGUACCGCAGCUAACGCACUAAGUACCCCGCCUGGGGAGUACGGCCGCAAGGCUAAA
rnacentral:rRNA from 1 species